rnacentral:rRNA from 1 species
UACGUAGGGGGGCAAGCGUUGUCCGGAGUUACUGGGCGUAAAGCGCACGCAGGCGGUCUGCUAAGUUUGGAGUGACAGUUGGUGGCUUAACUGCCAAAGUGCUUCGAAAACUGACAGACUUGAGGGCUUCAGAGGGACACGGAAUUCCGGGUGGAGUGGUGAAAUGCGUAGAGAUCCGGAGGAACACCAAAGGCGAAGGCAGUGUCCUGGGGAGUACCUGACGCUCAGGUGCGAAAGCCAGGGGAGCGAACGGG